rnacentral:lncRNA from 1 species
GCACCUUAAUCUUCUAUUGCACACACACCAUUUGUAGUAAUGCCGCAGAAGGCAAGUCACAAUUAACCGAGUAACAAACAUAGCAGCACUGAUAUGUCAUUUUCCACAUUAAGAUUGUAAUCCUGCUAACAUCAACUAGAGAUAGAAUGUGGUAAUAAAUAAAAUGCAUGGUGAUGUUGAUAAUUGCAGCACAAUCUUUGUCGGAAUUGCCAUUUAUAGCCUGUUACAAGCCAGAAUUUUAUACCAUUUUAGGACUAAAAAACACAAAGGAGAAAUACAUGAAGGUUAUCUCAUUUUCAGGUUCAAAGUUAAUCAAACGAAUUGGAUGAGAGGGAAUGAAA